rnacentral:lncRNA from 1 species
UGUCGUCUUAAUGAGGAACUAAAAUUCUAGAAUGAAUUCUAGAAUUCAUUCUAGAAUUUUAGUUCUCAUUAAGACAACAGCCGGCGCUUAAAUCGCCAACGAAAUUCGCGGAAAAUAAUGCUCGCUCCCUUAAACCGGAAACAUACCCGAUUGUGGCAGUAGAUUUUGGAAAAUGCAGUCGACAGUGCGGUCUGGUUCGGUCAGCAUGAAGUGUUAUGAAGUGCCAGUUUGCCAACCUGAUCACUGGUUUUUGACAGCAGACCGUCUACUUCCUUGAUACCUGAACAACUCCUACAGUGAAGAGGCAUUUCCUGAACAAUGGAGCGACAUCCUCGAGACACAAUAACAGAAGCUUUCUAAAGACAUGCAAACCAUGAGAUGGAAACUUGCUUUGUAAUUCACUACCAGUGACUGGCAGUCCUGAAACAGAAUGUCCAACUUUUCUUGGCAAAUCCAGACCUACCAUCAGGAUGCAGUGUCAUGUAAGACACUGCAAGAGCUUUGUCUUUCUGGGAUUCCUAAGCCUUUGAAUGGAGAAAACAAGACAUUGCUGCAUAUAUGACGAUGAAAAUACCAUAUUGUUGGACAUUAAUUAAAAAGAGCAUUGACCAAUGACAUGUAUACCGUGGCUAGUGAUUGAUAAUUGUUGUGAUUUUUCUGAUUUGGCCAUACAGUCAGAAUGAAGGAAAGACAAAUAUCAUGGUUCAUGAACUUCAGAUACACUUUUAAGCUCCUCUGGUACAAACUGUCAUAAUCUUAUGGUAUAGUGAAGUGUCUGUCAUAAGUCUGUCUGUCAACUUUUUCUUUAAAUUACUUUUUUAAAUUGAAAAUCACAGGGCCCUUAUAUUUGGUCAGCAAGUACUUGGGAUAAAUACUUUAAAGUUUCAUCAUGUAGAUUACCUUGACCUUCUUUCAAGGUCACAGGUGUCCAAAACAGGCAUCAGUUUCUUAAAAACUGGUCUUGAGUCAUGAUAUUUCAUGAUGAUUAUAUUUUAUUCAGUAUUCCUUUGCAUUGCUUUGUUUAAAAAAUAUUUUUUUCAAAUUGUUCCAUCAAAUAUAUGUACAUGUAUGUAGAUAUAUGUAAUGACAGCAUACUUGUUGAUAACUUUGUCGUAGCGAUUGUUUUGUUAACUUUUAUGCAUAUUGAUAUUUUUUUAUGAAAUUAAAUCAUUGUUUAUCUUC